rnacentral:rRNA from 1 species
UACGAAGGGUGCAAGCGUUAGUCGGAAUUACUGGGCGUAAAGCGUGCGUAGGCGGUUUCCUAAGUCGGAUGUGAAAGCCCUGGGCUCAACCUGGGAAUGGCACUCGAUACUGGAUAGCUAGAGUUCGGCAGAGGGAAGCGGAAUUUCCGGUGUAGCGGUGAAAUGCGUAGAUAUCGGAAGGAACAUCAGUGGCGAAAGCGGCUUCCUGGACCAGAACUGACGAUCAGGCACGAAAGCGUGGGGAGCAAACAGG